UUUUUUUACUGUCAGCAAAUAAAUAAAUCAAUAUCAUAGUUCGGCACCCCAAAAUAAAUACACAACCCCAAACUCUGAGGAGUUAUAAGAAAAAAGGGAGCAGGAGUGGUGUUAAUUUUAAACAUGUGGGAAAUGAGGCACCAAAGUAUUAAGUGUAUCUUUAGGGAAAUCCAUUCCAUAACCAAAGGCUGCAAUUUAUUUUCUUAGUUCCAAUUUCAGAUCAUUACAACAUUACCUUUCAAUAAAAACAUGCCCCUGACACAGCUGAGUUUACCAUUUGUUUUUCAGUCCUAUAAAGCAGCACAAGCCUGAGAACUACCAGGACACUUCAUGCAAAUACAAAUCCUCUCCUUCCAUGAGAAAACUUACUGUAGCAUAAUUUAUUGACUAUAAAAAGAAGAAUUAAUGGCCCAGUGCUACUAUAACCAUACCAAUAUUUAAUAAAAUAAAAUUUCUAGAAUAAUGUUUCAUCACAGCACUGUCCUUUUAGUCUGAUACCCACAAAGCAACAUGAAGUUUUAGAAAAGAAACAUAAUGUAGUAAUUUCAAUCCAUCUCUCUUUAGCUGAUCUCUGAUUAGCUUGCAGAGCCAUUAAACUGCAGUUGUCCACACAGAACAUAGUUGAUACUCCAGUUUUUAAGCAUUCUCAGCUGCAACUAGUUUUGAGCAGUGCCUCUCCCAAGAGAGGUGCUUCAUGUCACUCUGCUGGAGUAUAGUCUGAGCUAGGGUGAGUUAGACACUUAAAUCAAAAUCCUUUCUUUUUUCUUUCAGGAUGAGCUCAGCAAAACUUUAUGAAACAAUUGUGUAUGUGAUUCUCUAUCACUCUUCAGUCUGUUCUUGAUCUGAAGCCUGCACAAAGAAAAUUCUCAUCCACCAGCAUACACAGUCUAAACACGAUAAAUACAGCUGGCACAAUAACUCUGUCCAGAACUGGAAAGACAAUGAUGAGUAACUUGUUCUUA